rnacentral:rRNA from 1 species
GGACCCGCACAAGUAGUGGAGCAUGUGGUUUAAUUCGAAGAUACGCGCAGAACCUUACCAACACUUGACAUGUUCGUCGCGACUUUAAGAGAUUAAAGUUUUCGGUUCGGCCGGACGAAACACAGGUGCUGCAUGGCUGUCGUCAGCUCGUGUCGUGAGAUGUUGGGUUAAGUCCCGCAACGAGCGCAACCCUCACUUUUAGUUGCCAUCAUUAAGUUGGGCACUCUGAAAGAACUGCCAGUGAUAAGCUGGAGGAAGGUGGGGAUGACGUCAAGUCCUCAUGGCCCUUACGUGUUGGGCUACACACGUGCUACAAUGGUAUCUACAACAGGAAGCAAGACUGCGAAGUUAAGCAAAUCCUAAAAAAAUGCCUCAGUUCGGAUUGUACUCUGCAACUCGAGUACAUGAAGCUGGAAUUACUAGUAA